CCUGUUCGAGCGUCAUUAUAACCAAUCCAGCCCUGCUGGGUCUUGGGCCCCGCCUCAGGGCGGGCCUUAAAAUCAGUGGCGGUGCGUCUGGCUCUGAGCGUAGUAAUUCUCUCGCUAUAGGGUCCGGGCGGUGCCUUGCCAGCAACCCCCAAUUUUCAAAGGUUGACCUCGGAUCAGGUAGGGAUACCCGCUGAACUUAA
rnacentral:misc_RNA from 1 species